rnacentral:misc_RNA from 1 species
AGCAGCCGCGGUAAUUCCAGCUCCAAUAGCGUAUAUUAAAGUUGCUGCAGUUAAAAAGCUCGUAGUUGAAUUUCGGGACUAAUAUGUCGGUCGUGCCUCGGUACGUACUGGCUUAUUGGUUUCUCCUUUCUGAAGAACCAUGAUGUCAUUUAUUUGGUGUCGUGGGGAAUCAGGACUGUUACUUUGAAAAAAUUAGAGUGUUUAAAGCAGGCUCACGCUUGAAUACAUUAGCAUGGAAUAAUGAAAUAGGACGUUUGAUUCUAUUUUGUUGGUUUCUAGGAUCGACGUAAUGAUUAAUUGGGAUAGUUGGGGGCAUUAGUAUUCAAUUGUCAGAGGUGAAAUUCUUGGAUUUAUUGAAGACUAACUACUGCGAAAGCAUUUGCCAAGGAUGUUUUCAUUAAUCAAGAACGAAAGUUAGGGGAUCGAAGACGAUCAGAUACCGUCGUAGUCUUAACCAUAAACUAUGCCGACUAGGGAUCGGAUGAUGUUAAUUUUUAAUGACUCAUUCGGCGCCUUAACG